UCUUCGCGCGAAGCGUCGGCGACCAACGGCGCGGCGCUGCGGGCCGAAGGCGGCAUCAUCCAGACGAUCGCGUAGCCGUUUCGAGAAGCAACAGAUUGAUUUCGGCGUUCUCCGGGAAUGAUUUUCUUCCGGGACGUCGUGUCGCAUGCGACAAACGUCGCAGAUCGGCUGUUUGUCACAUCACUGUAACGCGACUGUCGCAUUAAUGCGGCCAUGCUCAUGGCUGCAAUGCAGCACGCCGGCU
rnacentral:misc_RNA from 1 species